rnacentral:tRNA from 1 species
GCCUGACAGGUUCAGUUGGUAAGAGCAUGUGACUCUUGAUCUUGGGGUUGUGAGUUCAAGCCCCAUGUUGGGUG